GCGUAGGGCACGGGUAUCAGUUAGCGCCGUCGGGAUUAGGGAGUGUCGUCGUCAUCAUGGGACUGAUUCGCAUUAGCCUCCCGAUGACACGAGAUGAAGGAGGAGGAAGGGGGGGGGGAGGAUUACCCACGCUCCCUCACUUCUGGAUGGGAGUCAGGUAGACAACAAAGCAACACUUCACCCACGAUAGAAGGGAGGAAAAAAAAGUCUACACACCCCUGUCAAAGAAUCAGACCACCGUGAAGAAGAGGAGGAGGAAUGCAUGUACACACACACACACACACAUAUGCCAUAUGUGUGAGCACCAGUGUGGGCACAGUGCACUGAUCCAAUAUUACGCCUGUGGUCCUCGCUGUCUUUAUGGGGAGACGGUGGGAGGCUGGCUAGGACUUUGUACAUUCUCAAGCAUAUUUAUUAUGUGUGUGCGUGUGGGUGGGUGUGUACUUUCCACAGACCCCCUUUGCUACACGGAGGGCCAGCGUGAGUGUGUGCGCGCGGUGCUCCAUGUGUGUUUAAGCUUUUUUGUUUAAUUUCUACUUCCUGUUUUAUUCUCGGCCUAAUCCAAACGCAACACAGCUGCGCGUGGAGAGAACGCGAGGGAUGGGGAGAUGAAGGCAGAGGGAAAGGACGGGGGUUGCCGGGUCCUGGUGAGUGCGGCCGUGCUACCAACAGAUGGAAGGGAAAUGGGGUUACCAGCUUGGAUUUAUCUUCUUUGUAGGCCAGACUACAACAGACACCGCCCACCCUCUCAUUUUGGUCAUAAUACGACGUGUAAAUCUGCAUAUUUGGUGGUCACCCCCCACCCCUCCUUUACCCACAAGACUCUCGAGUCCAACAGAACCAUUUUUACUAUCACCCCCACUUGGAGUCGUAACAUCAAUUGUGACACUAAGAAUUUACAGACCACAAAAGUGAAUAAAGUUUGGGUGGUCUAGGAGGCUUUCUUGACAUUUUAUGGCUUUCUAGUUUUGUGCUGACACAGAUUGACAAUUUGAUCGAAAUAUUGCAGACCCAAGUUUGAGAAAGGUGGAAACUGUGUAAUCCAACCUCAAUGUGACCCAAAUAAAAGGCCUCACUCAGCA